UACGUAGGUGGCAAGCGUUGUCCGGAUUUACUGGGCGUAAAGAGCGCGCAGGCGGUCGUUCAAGUCGCGUGUGAAAGCCCCCGGCUCAACUGGGGAGGGUCACGCGAUACUGAUCGACUCGAAGGCAGGAGAGGGUAGUGGAAUUCCCGGUGUAGUGGUGAAAUGCGUAGAUAUCGGGAGGAACACCAGUGGCGAAGGCAGCUCGCUGGGACGUUACUGACGCUGAGACGCGAAAGCGUGGGGAGCAACAGGG
rnacentral:rRNA from 1 species